CUACGGGACGCUGCAGUGGGGAAUAUUGCACAAUGGGCGCAAGCCUGAUGCAGCAACGCCGCGUGAACGAAGAAGGUCUUCGGAUCGUAAAGUUCUUUUCUUAGGGAAGAAAAAUGACGGUACCUAAGGAAUAAGCACCGGCUAAAUACGUGCCAGCAGCCGCGGUAAUACGUAUGGUGCAAGCGUUAGCUGGAAUCACUGGGCGUAAAGGGAGCGUAGGCGGUUUUGCAAGUCAGAAGUGAAAGGCUACGGCUCAACCGUGGUAAGCUUUUGAAACUGCAAGACUAGAGUGCAGGAGAGGCAAGUGGAAUUCCUAGUGUAGAGGUGAAAUUCGUAGAUAUUAGGAGGAACACCAGUGGCGAAGGCGACUUGCUGGACUGUAACUGACGCUGAGGCUCGAAAGCGUGGGGAGCGAACAGGAUUAGAUACCCUCGUAGUC
rnacentral:rRNA from 1 species